GACAGUCAUUGCGCAUCGCUGCUCUGGUGGUCUGCUACAUGGGUAUUCACAUUUAGCUCUAUUUUAGCACUGAGAGGUGUGCGGUAGUUCAUCUUUGUGUGGGAUAUAUUGAUUUGUGUUUCAUACUUGACAAUGAGAACAGUGAUUAGCAAUAUGAGCCAUCUGAUGGCUAGAGAACCUAUAAUAUUUUUUUUCUCACUAGUUAUCUUUACUAAGGCCUCGGCAAUACCAAGCGGCUCAGGAGACACAAAUCAAAUCCUCUCUGAUGACUUCUCAUUAGGUACAAAGAAUCAAACAUCGACGAAUAACAACAGUUCCUAUCAGCACAACGUUUCAGGUUCUUUCGACAAUAAUGGACUGCAAACGGAAUUGUCUAGAAGGGCAAGCAGGCUGUUUCGCCGUUUAGUUGAUCCUAUUGAACCAACUUUUUUGAUCACCUCCAGUCCCAACCAAAUAAAUCCCGUGGUAUUGAAACUAUCCGAGGGUGGGCUGCGCAAAGUGACACUGAAUUAUGGUGGCCCAGUUUACA